rnacentral:rRNA from 1 species
GAUGAACGCUGGGGGCGUGCCUAAUACAUGCCAGUCGAGCGAACAGAUGAGGAGCUUGCUCCUCUGACGUUAGCGGCGGACGGGUGAGUAACACGUGGAUAACCUACCUAUAAGACUGGGAUAACUUCGGGAAACCGGAGCUAAUACCGGAUAAUAUAUUGAACCGCAUGGUUCAAUAGUGAAAGACGGUUUUGCUGUCACUUAUAGAUGGAUCCGCGCCGCAUUAGCUAGUUGGUAAGGUAACGGCUUACCAAGGCAACGAUGCGUAGCCGACCUGAGAGGGUGAUCGGCCACACUGGAACUGAGACACGGUCCAGACUCCUACGGGAGGCAGCAGUAGGGAAUCUUCCGCAAUGGGCGAAAGCCUGACGGAGCAACGCCGCGUGAGUGAUGAAGGUCUUCGGAUCGUAAAACUCUGUUAUUAGGGAAGAACAAAUGUGUAAGUAACUAUGCACGUCUUGACGGUACCUAAUCAGAAAGCCACGGCUAACUACGUG